CUAGCCUAAACCUGCCUGUCUAUCUGUGCUCACUGCUCAGUGACGUGUGGAGUCACUCAGGGGAGGGGGAUACCUGGCACCUGACCGCAUGACUGUCUGACACUGGAGCCACGUUUGAAGCCCACCAGACCGAAGAUGCUGGAUACGCCUGUGGUAGCUGGUUACUUGCACAACUUGCAAACCCAUCUACGCCAUUUCAAAUACACUACAAAGAGGCUCACAGCAAAGCAAGAUCCAGAUCAUCAAAAAGACAUUUAACAUUCUAUAAAGUCUUUAUAGGUGCCUGAAUAAAACAGGAGGAACACUGAAGUAAAUGCCAAAAAGUGGCUGAUACUGUCUCCUCAUAAUACAGCAAUUCAACACAAUCUUGAAACCAUAAAUGUAGAUUUGUUAUCUGAUGAAAUUAUUAAUAAUUUUACAAUUCAGUGGAAAUAAUGAUAACAGCAGAGAAAUCAUAUUAUUAACCCCUUAAUGACCAUGUACGUCGCCAGUCAUUCAGGGUUUUCUUGUUAUAAUAGCGUGGGGCCCCACUAUUAUACCCUCCAUCCUCUCUUCUGGUCACCAGAAAUAGCGCUGGUAGCGAGACAUAUGCUACGAGAAAAAAAAACAAAGCGUGGAGCCACAGUGGGAAGGACGGAGUGAUAUAGUGUAAGUUAUUGUCACCACUCACCUCCCUAUAGCGCUGCUAUUACAGGUUUUCAUAAACCCGGCGUUAGCAGGCAAUAAGUGAGCGUUGAGCAAAAUUGAGCUCCAUACCGCACUCCAUUACCAGCGCUGCUUUGAGCUGGUUUUACAUGCUUGUGCACGAUUUCCCCAUAGACAUCAAUGGGGAGAGCCGGCUGAAAAAAAGCGUAACACCUGCAAUAAAGCAUCUUAAAGCCCUGUAAUGCAGCCCCAUUGAUUCCUAUGGGGAAAGAAAAGUUAUGUUUACACUUAACACCCUAACAUAAACCCUGAGUCUAAACACCCCUAAUCUGCCGCCCCUGACAUUGGUGACACCUACAUUACACUUAUUAACCCCUAAUUUGCCACCCCUAACAUCGCCGCCACCUACCUACACUUAUUAACCCCUAAUCUGCCGACCCUAAUGUUGCCGCCACCUACAUUACACUUAUUAACCCCUAAUCUGCCGCCCCUAACAUCGCCGACACCUACCUACAUUUAUUAACCCCUAAUCUUCCGCCCCCAACGUCGCCGCCACUAUAGUAAAGUUAUUAACCCCUAACCCUAACACCCACUAUCUUUAAUGUAAUUAAAAUAAAUCUAAAUAUAAAACCUACUAUUAAUAACUAAAUAAUUCCUAUUUAAAACUAAAUACUUACCUGUAAAAUAAACCCUAAGCUAGCUACAAUAUAACUAAUAGUUACAUUGUAUCUAUCUUAGGUUUUAUUUUGUAUUUCACAGCUAAGUUUGUAUUUAUUUUAACUAGGUAGACUGGUUAGUAAAUAGUUAUUAACUAUUUAAUAACUACCUAGCUAAAAUAAAUACAAAUUUACCUGUAAAAUAAAACCUAACCUGAGUUACACUAAAAACCUAACCUUACACUACAAUUAAAUCAAUGACAUUUAUUAAAUACAAUUAACUAAAUUACACAAAAUAAAAAAGAAAUUAUCAAAUAUUUAAACUAAUUACACCUAAUCUAAUAGCCCUAUCAAAAUAAAAAAGCCCCCCCAAAAUAAAAAAAAACCUAGGCUAAACUAAACUGCCAAUAGCCCUUUAAAGGGCCUUUUGCGGGGCAUUGCCCCAAAGAAAUCAGCUCUUUUACCUGUAAAAAAAAAUACAAACACCCCCAACAGUAAAACCCACCACCCACACAACCAAACUCCCCAAAUAAAAACCUACCUAAAAAACCUAAGCUCCCCAUUGCCCUGAAAAGGGCAUUUUGAUGGGCAUUGCCCUUAAAAGGGCAUUUAGGUCUUUUUCCGCCCAAACUCUAAGCUAAAAAUAAAACCAACCCAAUCCACUCUUCUCAUAACCCUCCCCCCACACACUCUCUCUCCAACUCUCUCCCUCUGUCAUUCUUUCACCAAACCAUUUCUUCCCCCACUCAUCCUCUUACCUACUCUAAUACUAGAUCUUACUCUCCCUUUAUCACUAUAUCUCACUCUCUAUUACACUCUCUCCUUUUUACUGAGAUCUAUGGAACAAAUGUUUGUACAUGUGUAUAUUUAAUGACUUAUGGUUGUGAUAAUGAGGUUUAUUUCAUAUACCCAAUGUUUUAAUUAAGAAUAUUCCGUUAUUCCGUUUGAAUAGUCAGUCCUGCCCCUAUCCAUUACGUCACUUUGUAACUUUCCCAUUGGCCAAUCCAGGUACACUACACCUGUGCACUCAGGUGUAUUUAAAGGGUGAUUUUUCCACUGAAUAUUAGUGUCCAUGACUAAGGCAAUGUUCUGCCGAAACGCGUAGGACUUGUGUAUCUUUUGUCCUGGAUUGAUCUAUGUUUUGUUUUACCUCUUUUUAUUUCUCCAACAUCGCUUUGAAUAAAAGUAUAUACGCUUAGAA